UUUUGUGGGGAUUGCCAAGGAAACAGCCACAAGACAGAUUUACAGGUGUAAACGUCAAGGCGGGGUCUGAAGUAGUCACCUGCCACUCUCCUGCUCUAGAAAUUGCUUUGCACUCGGACAGCCGUGGCAACUACAGGCAGCAGGCUGUGUGUCGGGGUCAGAACCAUCGAGAACCAGCUGGACAGGGUUUUCUACACACUCUACAGUUGGUGACGUGCUCUGAAGUCUCGUCCAUAGUUUCUCGCGCAAAGGUCGGAGAAUUUGCACCUGCAUGAUGAGUUCUGCAGUCGGCCCCGCUUCCCGCACGAGCUCAAGAGGAACGAAGCAGACAGAGUUCGCACGGAAAGAGAAUAUAAAUCAUUGGAAGGAAAGCAUAGGAAAGAGACAGUCGAGAAUUAGAGAGUUGCUGAUCGCUGCUCAGAGACUGGGUCAAGGUAAUGUAUUCACACCUGUUAUUGUUUUCUGUUUUUUCCUUCCUGAUCACGACAACUGUUUUUGUUCGUCCAUCGUCGACAACGGUCUCUAGCUCUGGCCUGCACACCUGCAAGGUGCUCCAUGUCGUACUCAGUCCCCGCACGGCCCCUGUAAGCUGGUGCUUCUGCUGUCAAGAGAUAGUAAACAGCGGAAGUUGACACGCGCGCGCUUGCGCGGUGACGGCCGUGUCACGACCUCACUGACCUCUGGUGGCGACCUCGCGUGCAGCUGACGCACUCGCGAAGGGGAGACGAUCAGGGAGAUUUCCUACAUGCGCAGACCACUGCGCACUCAGUCCACGUCAGUCGUCAGCUGAUUGGGCCGGUGACGCACCCAACCCUUGGGGUGAGCUGCAGAGUGCACUAACUGGACAACUUGGGUACAGGGUCAGCAGUUUCUUGCUUGAUGAAGUGAAUGAAUGAGUGUGUGAAGAGAGUGUGAGAGCAUGCAAGAUUUCUGUAAGGCCUCACGUUGUCACAAAUAAACAAAAAUAAUUAAUAAAAAUCAAGUAAAAUACGACUAAACAAAACAAAAAAGGAGAGAAAAAAUAAGAAAAAGAAACGAAAAUGAAGUAAGCAUACAGACAAAGAAACACGCGUAUCCUACAUGCUUUUGAAUGUGCUUCAUGUUUUAUCCCACAAUCUUCCACCAAAACGAAAGAUUUUAAGCACUAAGAACAGUUUAAGUGAGUUUCGCUCAACGUCCAGAGAAAGUUUACAGAUGUCGUGCAUGUCAUCUCAUUGUGUCCAGAGCGACUCCAGUCUGACAUUUGUUUACUCUCGUUCCAACUUCAUCAUCAGGUUUGCUGGACUGCAGAUGUCGUGGGCAGAGAAAAGCUGCAGACACUCAGCUCUCUGGUCAGUGUUUGGUUUCAAGGACCCAAGCUGGACGUUGCUGGACCAGCAGAAAAGUAAACAGGUAACAAACACAGGUAACAAACACAGGCAACACCUGUGCGGGGCUCACGUACUUCCUGACUUCUUGUUCGAUGACGUGGCAUCGAUCAUGUCACCUCCCUCUCUUCCUGCACAUCGAACCCCUCACCCUAGUCUCCUUCCUGCACCGUGCUUGGAACAUGAACCGCAGAACACAAUCUGUGCACGUGUCGGGUCACAGAGAUGUCACAGCCGUCACCCUCGUUUGAUUUCCAUGGCUGCCAAACUUCGCAGCCGCCUCCUAACCUGCUCAUGAUUCCCAGACCCCCCCUCGGCCUCGUUGUGAAAGCGCCAUUCCCUUCCGAGUGACACGGGAUGACCUUGCACUCGCUGGCAGCGCGAUCAAUAAGCUGUGUGACGUCACUCAAGUUUAC